UACAGAGGUCCCGAGCGUUGUUCGGAUUCACUGGGCGUAAAGGGUGCGUAGGUGGUGAGGUAAGUCGGAUGUGAAAUCUCCGGGCUCAACCCGGAAAUGGCAUUGGAAACUACCUUGCUAGAGGAUUUGAGGGGGGAUUGGAAUACUUGGUGUAGCAGUGAAAUGCGUAGAUAUCAAGUGGAACACCAGUGGCGAAGGCGAAUCCCUGGACAAUUCCUGACGCUGAGGCACGAAAGCCAGGGGAGCAAACAGG
rnacentral:rRNA from 1 species